rnacentral:rRNA from 1 species
GUGGAUUAGAUACCCUGGUAGUCCACGCCGUAAACGGUGGGCGCUAGGUGUGGGGAACAUUCCACGUUCUCCGUGCCGCAGCUAACGCAUUAAGCGCCCCGCCUGGGGAGUACGGCCGCAAGGCUAAAACUCAAAGGAAUUGACGGGGGCCCGCACAAGCGGCGGAGCAUGCGGCUUAAUUCGAUGCAACGCGAAGAACCUUACCUGGGUUUGACAUAUGGGGAAAACUGGCAGAGAUGUCAGGUCCGCAAGGGCCCCAUACAGGUGGUGCACGGCCGUCGCCAACU